rnacentral:rRNA from 1 species
CGUGGAUUGAUUUGUCUGGUUAAUUCCGAUAACGAACGAGAUAGGAGCUUAAUUAAAUAGAAAGAUCAUUUUUUCCUUCUUCCUUCGGGUUGAAGCGUGAUUCUUUUCUUCUUAAUGGGAUUUGCGGCGUUCCAGUCGUAAGAAACCCAGCAAUAACAGGUCUGUGAUGCCCUAAGAUGUCUGGGCUGCACGCGCGCUACAAUGAAAAUUGCAGCGCGUAUGACCAUUUCUGUAAAGAAUUGGUAAACGAGUCAAAUUAUUCCGUAUUUGGGAUCGAAUAUUGUAAUUAUUAUUCGUGAACGAGGAGCUUCAAGUAAGUGUAAGUCAUCAGCUUACGCUGAUUACGUCCCUGCCCUUUGUAC